ACUGGGUACUCUCUGGCCCCAUGGCAGGUUUUGUUUUCCAGCCACCGUAGAAGGACGUUGGUACUGGGACGUUGUCUUCCCAGUCGAGUCCCGCCGCUGGGCGGAGGCCUGACGGUCUCCUAAGUUAAGGUGGGUCACCGUCAGUGGUAUGCAUAGUAAAGUUAAUCGAGUCAGUCCGUCCCACCCAGGCCGCAUGCGGCUGGGUUGGCUGUAAUUUAUGGUCCCACAAGACAAUGAAGUAUCUCUCAGUUUGUUUCAAAAAAAAAAAAAAAACACGUCCCGCGGGCCGGACGUGAUUGCACGUCACGCCUUGGCAGCGAGCGAGGUGUUGCGAGGGUCACUUUGAUCGAUCGGAGGCGACUGAUCAAAUGGGUCAUGUACAACUGAAUGUGUUUGGCUGUUUGCUGGGGUGUUGCUGUGCCUUUCCGGGCUCCUCCACGGUGUGGACUUGCGGCCUCAUAAGGUGUCAUCGGACGAGAGUACGUUUCUUCAGAGGAAUUGCACAUUCAGUGUCGGCAUUGAAGUUGGCUGGAACGCAGGUCCUUUGGCAAGCGUGGAGAAACGACACCCCCGCAGCAAACUUGCCGAACUGGGGGAAUUAUUCUUAUAGCCCUUGCGAAUGGGGAGGAAUCAAGUGCGAAAUUAGGAACACAACCACGAAAUUGAACGUUCUAGUAAUCACUCAACUGGAUUUGUGGGAGAAGGGAAUAGCGGGCGUUGUUCCGCCUGAAAUAUGCUUGCUGAGCAACCUUGAAUUCAUGAGCCUGGCCAGGAACAAAUUCAGAGGCCAAGUACCAGAUGUCUCUUUUUUGUACAGCCUGGAAGCUUUGUGAGCGUAAUCGCCUCUGCCCAUAAGUACUAUCUUCAAAAUCCAUUGAAUAAGUGGUUAUUUAGAGCAGGGAUCUUUGGAGAAUUAUCAAUUGGUAAUUUUAUAUAUCAUUUGAAGCAAUGCUCGGGUUAAUCUCAUUCUCUGUGUAGAAAAAUCUUUUGCUUAUUCUUGUUGCAGGAUCCUGGCAUGGAACAACUUCACAGGCCAUGCACCAACUGUCUCUUCCUUACACAGCCUGAAGUACUUCAACACUAAACAAAAAUACUUCCGCCUCACCCUCUCUGCCACUUCAUCAUUCCGUUGCAAACUCCUUGUCCCCUACACAUCCCCAAUCCCUCUUUGACACUAUAAAUCUGCCGUUAUAUUGAAUAUGAUGUUUCCGCCAAAACUAUCUUACUGGAAGUACUUUAGCAAGAGUACUAGGAUCUUCUGAGAGUCUUCAGAACCGCAUAUUGGAUAAAACGACACAAUUUUGGUACCGAAAUUGUGACUCUGAGGAGAUUAAAAGUAUUGAAUUCUUAUUAUGAAGGUGGAUUCAGGUUUCAUACAGAUGCAUGAUAUCCUACCAAGCUCACUGAAAUCUGCUCUUUUAUCAAAUAUGAGGUUUCAGUCUCAGUUUGUUCAUUUAUCUUUUGAAGCAAUACUAGGGCGAUUCUCAUUCUCCAUGUUGCUAAAUCUUUUGCGUCAUCUUGCUUCAGGGACCUGUCUGCGAACAACUUCACGGGCCAAGCACCAGAUGUGUCUUCCUUAUUCAACCUGACUUACUUGGACCUGUCUAAGAACAACUUCACAGGCCAAACACCAGAUCUCUCUUAUUUGUACAAUCUAGUAAAUUUGUGAGUGUAAACUACACACGUGUACUUCUGCCGAUACUGCGUGAUUCGAUGGUUAGGCUGAGUAGGGGCUUCCUAAAUCAAUGAGACAGUUUAUUUUUUCUCUUGAUGCUGUGGUCGAUUGGGCUACCCAUUCUCCAUGCCACAAAAGGAGAUGCAUAAAUUGUAAUGCUGAAGGCACCUGUCUGCGAAAAACUUCAUGGGCCAAGCACCAAAUUAUGCUCUGAUGACCGGUCUGAUAGACUUGAAUCUAACGUGGAACAAUUUUGAAGGCCUUCCACCACAAGUUUCUCCCAACUUCACCUUCCCGUUUUCAGUGUGUACCACUUUCAAAUGGAAUUUAUGGAGUCAAAAUUUCUAGGAAUCUCUUUGGAUGAGAAAUUUUGUAGGAUGCUUUCCAAUAUUCAUGGAAAUUGAAACUAUUGAAGAAAGAGAAAUUAAAAGAUAGAACAUUUAGCAUCAGCAAGGUAUAUACAAAAUAAAGUGUAGAAUAAGAUGAUUCUCACUUCCAAUACUUUUUACUUAUAAUUAGAUUUUACAUCAAUAAUAGAUGAAUUUAAUCAUUUUUAUCA